UCGAUUUCCCCUUGGUGAACCCAUGCUGACUGCUCCUGAUGACCUUCUCCUCCAAUUGCCUGGAGAUGGCACCCAGAACACGCUGCUCCAUGGCCUUUCCAGGCACAGAGGGUACCUUCUUACUUCCUCAUCAACACAGCAAUUGGGGUUUCGUGAGUGGAACAAAUGUGCAACAGCCCCGAGCUGCGAGGAGGAGUCAGGAGAGAGAUUCCGUGCAGUGCUGCAGCACGGUGCAUCCGCAGGGCACUGCCCACAGCACCGUGCACUGCCUGCAGCACCGUGCACUGCCUGCAGCACUGAGCACUACCCGCAGCACCGUGCAUUCCCUGCA
rnacentral:lncRNA from 1 species